rnacentral:rRNA from 1 species
GACGAACGCUGGCGGCGUGCUUAACACAUGCAAGUCGAACGGCAAGGCCCUGCUUUUGUGGGGUGCUCGAGUGGCGAACGGGUGAGUAACACGUGAGUAACCUGCCCUUGACUUUGGGAUAACUUCAGGAAACUGGGGCUAAUACCGGAUAGGAGACCCUGCUGCAUGGUGGGGGUUGGAAAGUUUCGGCGGUUGGGGAUGGACUCGCGGCUUAUCAGCUUGUUGGUGGGGUAGUGGCUUACCAAGGCUUUGACGGGUAGCCGGCCUGAGAGGGUGACCGGCCACAUUGGGACUGAGAUACGGCCCAGACUGCUACGUGAGGCAGCAGUGGGGAAUAUGGCACAAUGGGCGGGAGCCUGAGGCAGCAGCGCCGCGGGCGGGAUGACGGCCUUCGGGUUGUGAACCGCUGUCGCCUGUGACGAAGCGUUAGUGACGGUAAUGGGUAAAGAAGCACCGGCUAACUACGUG